rnacentral:rRNA from 1 species
GACGAACGCUGGCGGCGUGCUUAACACAUGCAAGUCGAACGGACAGGCCUCUUUCUGGCGGUUCUCGAGUGACGAACGGGUGAGUAACACGCAAGUAACUUGCCCUUGUCUUUGGGUUAACUUCAGGAAACUGGGGCUAAUACAGGCUAGGCACUCCUGCUGCACGGAGGGGUCUGGAGAGUUUCGGCGGUUAGGUAUGGACUCGCGACUUAUCCGCUUCUUGUUGGGGUAGUGGGUUACCAAGGCUUUGACGGGUAGCCGGCCUGAGAGGGUGAUCGGCGGCACAGGGACUUAGAGGCGGCACAGACACCGACGGGAGGGAGCAGGGGGGAAGAUUGAAGGAGGGGUGGAAGGCGGAUGCAGCAGGGCCGUGGACGGGAUGACGGCCUUAUGGUUGUAAACCGAUUUCGCACAUGACGAAGCUUUGUGUGACGGUAGUGGGUAAAGAAGCACCGGCUAACUACGUG